rnacentral:misc_RNA from 1 species
GAUGAAGAACGUAGCGGAAUGCGAUAAGUAGUGUGAAUUGCAGAAUUCAGUGAAUCAUCGAAUCUUUGAACGCACAUUGCGCCCCAUGGUAUUCCGUGGGGCAUGCCUGUUCGAGCGUCAUUUACCCCCUCAAGCUCCGCUUGGUGUUGGGCGUCUGUCCCGCUUCGCGCGCGGACUCGCCCCAAAGGUAUUGGCAGCGGUCGUGCCAGCUUCUCGCGCAGCACAUUGCGCUUCUCGAGGCACCGGUGGGCCCGCGUCCAUCAAGCUCACCCCCCCAGUUUGACCUCGGAUCAGGUAGGGAUACCCGCUGAACUUAAGCAUAUCAAUAAGCGGAGGA